UACGAAGGGGGCUAGCGUUGUUCGGAAUUACUGGGCGUAAGCGCGCGCAGGCGGUCUUCCAAGUCAGUGGUGAAAGCCCGGAGCUCAACUCCGGACUGCCAUUGAAACUGUGAGACUGGAGUACGAGAGAGGUGAGUGGAAUUCCCAGUGUAGAGGUGAAAUUCGUAGAUAUUGGGGAAGAACACCGAUGGCGAAGGCAAUCCCCCUGGGCCUGCACUGACGCUCAUGCACAAAGCGUGGGGAGCAAACAGG
rnacentral:rRNA from 1 species